AGGGACGUUGCGCAAGAAAGCGCGGAUCAACAACACGGACCAACAAGGAGCGGUGCCAGGACGGCACGCGAUCAUGGAUGUCAGGAUUCAGUCUGCAGAGCCCCGCUUCGGCGGGGUUUU
rnacentral:sRNA from 1 species